rnacentral:rRNA from 1 species
UACGUAGGGUGCAAGCGUUGUCCGGAAUUAUUGGGCGUAAAGAGCUCGUAGGCGGUUUGUCGCGUCUGCUGUGAAAACUCGGGGCUUAACCCCGGGCCUGCAGUGGGUACGGGCAGACUAGAGUGCGGUAGGGGAGACUGGAAUUCCUGGUGUAGCGGUGAAAUGCGCAGAUAUCAGGAGGAACACCGAUGGCGAAGGCAGGUCACUGGGCCGCAACUGACGCUGAGGAGCGAAAGCAUGGGGAGCGAACAGG